rnacentral:rRNA from 1 species
AGGUAGCAUAAUCACUUGUCCCCUAAAUAGGGACUAGAAUGAAUGGCUAAAUGAAGACUCAACUGUCUCUUGCAGCCUACCAAUGAAACUGAUCUCUUAGUUCAAAAGCUAAGAUUUUUCCACAAGACGAGAAGACCCUGUGGAGCUAUCAAACCAAGCUCACAAAAAUGACCCCUUGGUUUUCAGUUGGGGCGACUUCGGAGCAUAAAAAACCCUCCGACACAGUACCAAUCAAACCUAGAUGGACACAUCAAUACACCAAGACCCAGUAGCUUGUUUUCAAACUAUCUGAUCAAUGAACCAAGUUACCCCAGGGAUAACAGCGCCAUCCUCUCUUAGAGUCCAUAUCGACGAGAGGGAUUACGACCUCGAUGUUGGAUCAGGACACCCCAAUAGUGCAACCGCUA